GGGGAGGGGGAGGGAGGAGAAAGUUGUGCAGAAGUUUGAGAUGAGAAUAGUAACUAAGUCUUUUGAAAUCUGUGGAAUGACUGUAAGACAGCAAAACUCAAAGGUCUCUCUAUUACACAGUUUUGGCUGGCAUGGAAUUUGCAAUGGAGCCCAGGCUGUCUUGGAACAUACAAAGAUCCACCUGCCUCCAAGUGCUGAGGUUAAAGGAGGUACCACCACACCUUGCUCUCUGGUGACCCUAACUAAAGACAGCCUGACUCAGACCCUGCUGCAUUAUACCCAUAUUCCACUAUGAUGAUCAAAAGCUGUGGUUACAGUCGCCUAAUAAGCAGGACCAACACCCACACUUUUGUCCAGGGCAGAAAUUGAUUCAAAAGCAGUCUGAAGAUCUUUAUGUUAACAAAGAACAUUUACAACAGCAAGUGUCAAGAUAGUCCCAGUACCAAUGUGAGUGGGUUUAUAAUUCCUAAACCUCCAAGGCUCGCAAAGAACAUACAGAAUCCAUUUCAACUACUGUUGUUUGUGAUUAUAUGCUUAAAAAUAAAUUCAAAAUCUUCAUUCA